rnacentral:misc_RNA from 1 species
AAGUCGUAACAAGGUUUCCGUAGGUGAACCUGCGGAAGGAUCAUUAAUAAUUUUAUAGAUUUCUCUAGUAAGAGAUUUUUAUUACAUUUCUUGUGAACUCUUUACGUUUUGUAUGAAUCUUUAGCGAGAUUCAUAUAAAAAACAAACCUUUUAUAAAAAGUCUGAAACAAUUAUGAUAAUAAUAAUUAAAAACAACUUUUAACAACGGAUCUCUUGGCUCUCCCAUCGA